GUUUGUUUCCUGGUUUCUUAGAGUAAACACAGCAAGUAUUCAUGAUAAAUGAAGGCACUAUGGAAGGAAACAACGCUAGCUGUGCUGUCAGAGAAAAAUUGAAAAAAAGUGGCGAUGCAAAAUUUCCAACAUGUAAAUAUUUUCUUUCAUAUGCAGGCAGAAAAUGGGAUAUUAAAAUAUGAGCCAACAAUAGAUUAUUAAAAAAUUUCUACUCAGUACAUCUUUUACUGUAAGGGCAUUUUGGAAUCUUCAUUUACAAAAGCAUUUCUGAAGUUGCAAAAUCUGACACAGAUGAAAGAUAAAAGAGCCAGAAAUUCCUUCUCACAUGCAAUAUCAAACUGACUUGGGUUACAGGAACGCUGUUAAACUGAGUUUGAACAAUCCUUUUUUAUUGUGUUUAUCUAUGCAUGAAGCAACUUGUCAUGUUCUUCUCUUAAGUAAAAAGCACUGUCCU
rnacentral:lncRNA from 1 species